UGCCAGCAGCCGCGGUAAUACGGAGGUGGCAAACGUUGCUCGGAAUCACUGGGCUUAAAGGGCGUGUAGGCGGCGAUUUAAGUCGGAUGUGAGAUCUCUCGGCCUAACCGGGAAACUGCAUCCGAAACUGGAUUGCUAGAGUGCGGGAGGGGCAAGUGGAACUCCAGGUGUAGCGGUGAAAUGCGUAGAUAUCUGGAGGAACGCCGGUGGCGAAAGCGACUUGCUGGACCGCAACUGACGCUGAGGCGCGAAAGUGUGGGUAGCGAACAGGAUUAGAUA
rnacentral:rRNA from 1 species